GACGAACGCUGGCGGCGUGCCUAAUACAUGCAAGUAGAACGCACAGUUUAUACCGUAGCUUGCUACACCAUAGACUGUGAGUUGCGAACGGGUGAGUAACGCGUAGGUAACCUGCCUGGUAGCGGGGGAUAACUAUUGGAAACGAUAGCUAAUACCGCAUAAUAUUAAUUAUUGCAUGAUAAUUGAUUGAAAGAUGCAACUGCAUCACUACCAGAUGGACCUGCGUUGUAUUAGCUAGUAGGUGAGGUAACGGCUCACCUAGGCGACGAUACAUAGCCGACCUGAGAGGGUGAUCGGCCACACUGGGACUGAGACACGGCCCAGACUCCUACGGGAGGCAGCAGUAGGGAAUCUUCGGCAAUGGACGAAAGUCUGACCGAGCAACGCCGCGUGAGUGAAGAAGGGUUUCGGAUCGUAAAGCUCUGUUGUAAGAGAAGAACGGGUGUGAGAGUGGAAAGUUCACACUGUGACGGUAUCUGACCAGAAAGGGACGGCUAACUACGUG
rnacentral:rRNA from 1 species